rnacentral:rRNA from 1 species
AUUGAACGCUGGCGGCAUGCCUUACACAUGCAAGUCGAACGGCAGCACGGGAGCAAUCCUGGUGGCGAGUGGCGAACGGGUGAGUAAUAUAUCGGAACGUGCCCAGUAGUGGGGGAUAACUGCUCGAAAGAGCAGCUAAUACCGCAUACGACCUGAGGGUGAAAGGGGGGGAUCGCAAGACCUCCCGCUAGUGGAGCGGCCGACAUCAGAUUAGCUAGUUGGUGGGGUAAAGGCCGACCAAGGCAACGAUCUGUGGUUGGUCUGAGAGGACGAACAGCCACACUGGGACUGAGACACGGCCCAGACUCCUACGGGAGGCAGCAGUGGGGAAUUUUGGACAAUGGGCGCAAGCCUGAUCCAGCAAUGCCGCGUGCAGGAAGAAGGCCUUCGGGUUGUAAACUGCUUUUGUCAGGGAAGAAAUCCUCUAGGUUAAUACCCUUGGGGGGAUGACGGUACCGUAAGAAUAAGCACCGGCUAACUACGUGCCAGCAGCCGCAGUAACAC